rnacentral:rRNA from 1 species
GAUGAACGCUGGCGGCGUGCCUAAUACAUGCAAGUCGAGCGAACGGACGAGAAGCUUGCUUCUCUGAUGUUAGCGGCGGACGGGUGAGUAACACGUGGAUAACCUACCUAUAAGACUGGGAUAACUUCGGGAAACCGUAGCUAAUACCGGAUAAUAUUUUGAACCGCAUGGUUCAAAAGUGAAAGACGGUCUUGCCGUCACUUAUAGAUGGAUCCGCGCUGCAUUAGCUAGUUGGUAAGGUAACGGCUUACCAAGGCAACGAUGCAUAGCCGACCUGAGAGGGUGAUCGGCCACACUGGAACUGAGACACGGUCCAGACUCCUACGGGAGGCAGCAGUAGGGAAUCUUCCGCAAUGGGCGAAAGCCUGACGGAGCAACGCCGCGUGAGUGAUGAAGGUCUUCGGAUCGUAAAACUCUGUUAUUAGGGAAGAACAUAUGUGUAAGUAACUGUGCACAUCUUGGCGGUACCUAAUCAGAAAGCCACGGCUAACUACGUG